CAAUAGCGUAUAUUAAAGUUGUUGCGGUUAAAAAGCUCGUAGUUGGAUUUCUGUUGGGAACGACCGGUCCGCCCACUGGGUGUGUAUCUGGCUUGUUCUCGGCAUCUUCUUGGUGAACGUUGCUGCACUUGACUGUGUGGAGCGCUACCCAGGACUUUUACUUUGAGGAAAUUAGAGUGUUUCAAGCAGGCAUAUGCCUUGAAUACAUUAGCAUGGAAUAAUAAGAUAGGACCUCGGUUCUAUUUUGUUGGUUUCUAGAGCUGAGGUAAUGAUUAAUAGGGAUAGUUGGGGGCAUUCGUAUUUAACUGUCAGAGGUGAAAUUCUUGGAUUUGUUAAAGACGGACUUCUGCGAAAGCAUUUGCCAAGGAUGUUUUCAUUGA
rnacentral:rRNA from 1 species